CGACCGGGUGCAGUGAUGGAUACUGAGGUUCAGCAUUUUUUCGAGUAAAUGUUCUAAAUUAUCACUGAAAAAGACCUGUCUCCGAAACCAGAAGACAGUGUUUUAGUAUAAUCUUGUCUGAAACAGGAAAAAAUACGGUAAGGCAUUUCGUGAUAUCACUGAAAUAGACAUAACUAGAAAGAAAUCAGUGGACCGUGGCCAUCUCCGGUUACCCCAAUUGUCGUUAUUGAGCAGGUAUAAACGUGACAGCGAACUAGGAAGAGAUUUUGUUUAAUGUCUUCCACAAUCGUUCUAAAAGCGCGCGAAGUUGCAUAUGCCGUGCACUUGCUCAUUUGGUAACUGACUUCAUCUUGAGAAGAACCAGAGAUCGAAGGUCACAGGUAGACAGUGACUGUCAUUAACCUCCCAGAAGAGGUCAACAUGGAGCCCGCGAGUGUGCAGAGAACGCUGGUCUCGGAAGUUCUCGAACAAAUGAAACAUUUUUCUGAAGAGAUAUCAGGGAGAACUGAGAGUCCCGCAGAAGAGGCUCACAGAGGACAAUCGUUCAGGCUCCAAACUGGUCUGGAAGUCCCUGUUCCUACAGGGGCUGUGGACGGCGAACUGAGGAAUAAAACUCGGAUGCAAUGCCUCAUCUUCCUUGCUGCUGUCAUCAUCAUGCCCGCAGUUGUUAUAUUUCCAGAAAUGAUGUGGCUAGUCAUUCUUCAAGGCAUUGGGCUGGAAGAUGUCAGUAUCUUCGAUUACCUUGCUCACGAAUACUGGAAUACAUACAAAAUCGUCUACGGAGUCUUUGGUAUAGUGAGCGGUAUUCUCAUCACUGUGUUCAACUACCGACCUGUGGCGGCGGUUGGGGCAGUAUUGACAUGUCUUGGAUGUCUGAUCACAUCUUUCUUGGAUCUGGAAAAUGAGCAAGCUGUUACCUUCGUCUUCUGCGUUCUACCAGGUGUGGGCAACAGCUUUCUGUACACCGCGGCAGUGGUAGCGAUACUGGAAUGUUUCGGGAACAAGAGGAUCCUCGUUGUCAUCUUCACUUUUUUCUCGGAGAUCCUUGUGGAGCUGAUCCUCGCGCUUAUUAUACUACCAAGCGAUAACUUGAGUUGGCGAGCCACCUUGGGGAUAAUGUGUGGGAUCUACGGACUGUGUCUCCUGGCUUCCUCUGCUCUGGUCCCUCUCAACUUGUACAUGAACGACAACCCUCGUCAGAGUCUGCGCAGCCUCAUCAUGAACAUCGAGGCCCUGCGUGUCUUCAAGUCUCCGCUACUCUACGCCAUGGGUGGCGUCUUCUUCUUCACGGGAAUAGGGCUCGAUACUCCAGUAAAUCAUGUAAGACACUGGUACACCUUUGCGGUCGUGAUUCUACUGUCUGCUGUCUUGUUUGCUAUGAUAACCAGCUGCUACUUCUUCAGAAAGCUGACAAGCGAUACAUCCUUGCUCGUGAUCACAGUCCUGGGUUUUCUAAUGGGAAUUUUGUCGCUGUCAGUCAAAUGGUUUGAUGCUCUGCCAUACGCAUGCGUCUACAGCGUUCUCUACGGCCUAGGAUAUGGUUUGCGAGAACCAGUCACAAGAAACCUGAUUCCACUGGUGAUGGGAUGCAAAACCUGGGACUUACAGUCGGGUGCCUCACUUUUGCGUCGGGUGUCGGUUCCUUUAUAGGGGAAAAGAGCACAGAUGCUAUGAGCCGAAGGGAUGCACCCUUCUACCUGUUUGGCGCCGCUCUGAUCACAUCGUCGCUGAUGGUGCUCGUCGUGAUCAGACUGGUUAAAACUGCAGCUAGAACCCCGUAUGAGACCAACAACGAAGAGCAAGGCGUUGCAGAUGUGACACAGCCUCCAACGACCGUCACGGUCGACCUACCCAGAGAAAAUCUUCAGAGUGUUUGAAAAUAACACAUUACAGCGCAAUGGUGUAUGAGUGGAGGGAUAGGUUUAGUAGCAAGGCUAAGAUUUGUAUGAAUAGUUUAGUUUUGUUUUACUGGCCAAUGGUUUUGAAGAUUGUUUAAGAUGUCAUUUUUACAUAUAUUUGUGUUUAUAACUGGAUUAUAUUUACAGUGCUUUUAUAAUGGUGUAUACUGACUUUGGCAGAUACUCACACCCUUCAUCUGAGCUCUCGCAGCAAUAACGAAUCUCCGUGUGUAUGUGGGAAAGGUGUGUGUGUGUGUGUGUACGUGCACGUGUUUGUGUGCAACAGAGAGGGGAAUCUUCUUUAUUUUUCCCAAUAAACUGCGUUCACAUUUCUACAAUUUAUUAAAAAUCGUAAUUGUGUUUAUCUUUUAAAGAUCUGACUACAAUAUGCAUAUUUUUGUGUAAAUAAAUGUUUAUGAGACAGUU
rnacentral:misc_RNA from 1 species